AGAGUUUGAUCCUGGCUCAGAACGAACGCUGGCGGCGUGGAUAAGACAUGCAAGUCGAACGAGAGAAUUGCUAGCUUGCUAAUAAUUCUCUAGUGGCGCACGGGUGAGUAACACGUGAGUAACCUGCCCCCGAGAGCGGGAUAGCCCUGGGAAACUGGGAUUAAUACCGCAUAGUAUCGAAAGAUUAAAGCAGCAAUGCGCUUGGGGAUGGGCUCGCGGCCUAUUAGUUAGUUGGUGAGGUAACGGCUCACCAAGGCGAUGACGGGUAGCCGGUCUGAGAGGAUGUCCGGCCACACUGGAACUGAGACACGGUCCAGACACCUACGGGUGGCAGCAGUCGAGAAUCAUUCACAAUGGGGGAAACCCUGAUGGUGCGACGCCGCGUGGGGGAAUGAAGGUCUUCGGAUUGUAAACCCCUGUCAUGUGGGAGCAAAUUAAAAAGAUAGUACCACAAGAGGAAGAGACGGCUAACUCUGUGCCAGCAGCCGCGGUAAUACAGAGGUCUCAAGCGUUGUUCGGAAUCACUGGGCGUAAAGCGUGCGUAGGCUGUUUCGUAAGUCGUGUGUGAAAGGCGCGGGCUCAACCCGCGGACGGCACAUGAUACUGCGAGACUAGAGUAAUGGAGGGGGAACCGGAAUUCUCGGUGUAGCAGUGAAAUGCGUAGAUAUCGAGAGGAACACUCGUGGCGAAGGCGGGUUCCUGGACAUUAACUGACGCUGAGGCACGAAGGCCAGGGGAGCGAAAGGGAUUAGAUACCCCUGUAGUCCUGGCAGUAAACGGUGCACGCUUGGUGUGCGGGGAAUCGACCCCCUGCGUGCCGGAGCUAACGCGUUAAGCGUGCCGCCUGGGGAGUACGGUCGCAAGAUUAAAACUCAAAGAAAUUGACGGGGACCCGCACAAGCGGUGGAGUAUGUGGCUUAAUUCGAUGCAACGCGAAGAACCUUACCUGGGCUUGACAUGUAAUGAACAACAUGUGAAAGCAUGCGACUCUUCGGAGGCGUUACACAGGUGCUGCAUGGCCGUCGUCAGCUCGUGUCGUGAGAUGUUUGGUUAAGUCCAGCAACGAGCGCAACCCCUGUUGCCAGUUACCAGCACGUGAAGGUGGGGACUCUGGCGAGUCUGCCCAGAUCAACUGGGAGGAAGGUGGGGACGAUGUCAGGUCAGUAUGGCCCUUAUGCCCAGGGCUGCACACGUACUACAAUGCCCAGUACAGAGGGGGCCGAAGCCGCGAGGCGGAGGAAAUCCUAAAAACUGGGCCCAGUUCGGACUGUAGGCUGCAACCCGCCUACACGAAGCCGGAAUCGCUAGUAAUGGCGCAUCAGCUACGGCGCCGUGAAUACGUUCCCGGGUCUUGUACUCACCGCCCGUCA
rnacentral:rRNA from 1 species